GGCAAGUGUGUAUUGGCCAGAUCACCCCUCAUUAUAUCUGAAGCAAGUACAAGUAAACAAUCAGUACCAGCAAAAAGAAAACUGUUGUUACUUGAGGACAAAUUUGACAGUGAUGAGUCAAAUACACCAGCA